rnacentral:rRNA from 1 species
UGGGGAAUUUUGGACAAUGGGCGAAAGCCUGAUCCAGCAAUGCCGCGUGUGUGAAGAAGGCCUUCGGGUUGUAAAGCACUUUUGUCCGGAAAGAAAUCCUUGGCUCUAAUACAGUCGGGGGAUGACGGUACCGGAAGAAUAAGCACCGGCUAACUACGUGCCAGCAGCCGCGGUAAUACGUAGGGUGCAAGCGUUAAUCGGAAUUACUGGGCGUAAAGCGUGCGCAGGCGGUUUGCUAAGACCGAUGUGAAAUCCCCGGGCUCAACCUGGGAACUGCAUUGGUGACUGGCAGGCUAGAGUAUGGCAGAGGGGGGUAGAAUUCCACGUGUAGCAGUGAAAUGCGUAGAGAUGUGGAGGAAUACCGAUGGCGAAGGCAGCCCCCUGGGCCAAUACUGACGCUCAUGCACGAAAGCGUGGGGAGCAAAACAGGAUUAGAUACCCUGGUAGUCCACGCCCUAAANGAUGUCAACUAGUUGUUGGGGAUUCAUUUCCUUAGUAACUAGCUAACGCGUGAAGUUGACCGCCUGGGGAGUACGGUCGCAAGAUUAAAACUCAAAU